rnacentral:rRNA from 1 species
UACGUAGGGUGCAAGCGUUGUCCGGAAUUAUUGGGCGUAAAGAGCUCGUAGGCGGUUUGUUGCGUCGGCUGUGAAAACCCAUGGCUCAACCGUGGGCUUGCAGCCGAUACGGGCAGGCUAGAGUUCGGUAGGGGAGACUGGAAUUCCUGGUGUAGCGGUGAAAUGCGCAGAUAUCAGGAGGAACACCGGUGGCGAAGGCGGGUCUCUGGGCCGAUACUGACGCUGAGGAGCGAAAGCGUGGGGGAGCGAACAGG